AAACGUAGGGUGCAAGCGUUGUCCGGAAUUACUGGGUGUAAAGGGAGCGCAGGCGGACCGGCAAGUUGGAAGUGAAAACUAUGGGCUUAACCCAUAAAUUGCUUUCAAAACUGCUGGCCUUGAGUAGUGCAGAGGUAGGUGGAAUUCCCGGUGUAGCGGUGGAAUGCGUAGAUAUCGGGAGGAACACCAGUGGCGAAGGCGACCUACUGGGCACCAACUGACGCUGAGGCUCGAAAGCAUGGGUAGC
rnacentral:rRNA from 1 species